CAGCUCACAAACCAGAUGAGGAUGGAGAGGUCAUCCAACUUCAUUUCAAUAUACUAAAACAAGAGAUGAGGAAAGCUACUCCAGCUAUGCCGGAGAAAGAUGGAGAGAAGCUUCACUUAUAGACACAAAAGGAGGUAUAAUCCUGAGGUAUCUGUGGCACAAAUUUUUGAAGAAAUUCCAACUCUACGAUACAAAAACUUUCUAGCAAUUGAGGCUAAGUCAUUGAAUGUGGCUUCCCCAGGUGAAAUGUGGGAUAAAUUACAUGGAUCCAUCAUUCACUUGAUGAAAUUUUCAAAACCAAGGUCUAAAAACUAUCACCAGUUUCACAGCAGAUAUCUAGAAAAUUUGGACAGCACUCUGAAAGGGCAAGAAAGGAAAGAUGAUCAAGUCUCCAACUCCCACUUUGGUGAUGACGGCAAAGUCAUUUCAAAUCUUCAUCAACGGGGAGAAAGUUCUCAACAACAACAUAACAAAGUUCAGUGAAGCCUUAGAAGCGCUUUACUAUUAUUUUUCAGUAUUUGCAAUAGAGUACCAAAAAGAAAUAAAAAACACAAUGUUUUUUAGAAAAAAUAAUAUUUAAAGGAAGUACAAAGGUGCUGUCUACUGUAAUGUCAUGGGCCAAAAAAACUUGAACAGCUUAAAUAAAGAGGUAAGCUAUGCAGUGUUAAAAACGUGACCUGUUCUGUGUUAGUAGGGAGGCAACAACUGACGGCAAAAAUGUGUCUUUAAGAUUUUUUUUUUUUUUUCCGAGCCGGCAAGCCUCAAAAUCAGUUAUUUGCAAAAGGCUUCAAGUAUUUCAUGUAUAUGGCCUGCCCUGCACACACUGACAUCAGAACAGUGUAAGCCAUCUUUAUAAAACAUUUAAAGCUAGGAGGAGUUAUUGUAUGGAUAUAUUGGUUUACUUUGUAUUCUGUAAAUUUUCAUGUAAUAUUUUAAGAUGUAUAUAAUAAUGAUUAGAGUCAGUAUAUGCCUGGGAGAACCAUCAGGGAUGGUGGUGGCGGGUGGGUCAAGACAAUGUGCACCCUGGUUUAUGCUCCCAUUCAUACCAAAUUAUAUUUAGUAAUUAUUGUAUGUACAUAAUUUAUUGUGUGGAAUGGUCAUUAUUCUGUAAAUUUUUGUUAUAUUCUAUGAUGCAUAUGAUUACAUGUAUAAUUCAAAUAAUGAGAGGCACUGAAUUCCCCCAGAAUAAUUUUUCAUUUUUCUCAUUAGGAAGGGUAAAUUAAGUACACCAGAGGUAAAUCAGCCUAAAAUUUUACCUCACA